rnacentral:rRNA from 1 species
AUUGAACGCUGGCGGCAUGCCUUACACAUGCAAGUCGAACGGCAGCACGGGGCAACCUGGUGGCGAGUGGCGAACGGGUGAGUAAUGCAUCGGAACGUACCUUUCAGUGGGGGAUAACGUAGCGAAAGUCACGCUAAUACCGCAUAUUCUGUGAGCAGGAAAGCAGGGGAUCGCAAGACCUUGCGCUGAUUGAGCGGCCGAUGUCAGAUUAGCUAGUUGGUGAGGUAAAGGCUCACCAAGGCGACGAUCUGUAGCGGGUCUGAGAGGAUGAUCCGCCACACUGGAACUGAGACACGGUCCAGACUCCUACGGGAGGCAGCAGUGGGGAAUUUUGGACAAUGGGGGCAACCCUGAUUCAGCCAUGCCGCGUGAGUGAAGAAGGCCUUCGGGUUGUAAAGCUCUUUCGGCCGGGAAGAAAUCGCACGGGCUAAUACCCUGUGUGGAUGACGGUACCGGAAUAAGAAGCACCGGCUAACUACGUGCCAGCCGCCGCAGUAAGAC